rnacentral:rRNA from 1 species
CCUACGGGGUGCUGCAGUGGGGAAUAUUGGACAAUGGGCGAAAGCCUGAUCCAGCCAUGCCGCGUGUGUGAAGAAGGCCUUCGGGUUGUAAAGCACUUUCAGUGGGGAAGAAAGCCUUGGGGCUAAUACCCUCGAGGAAGGACAUCACCCACAGAAGAAGCACCGGCUAACUCCGUGCCAGCAGCCGCGGUAAUACGGAGGGUGCGAGCGUUAAUCGGAAUUACUGGGCGUAAAGCGCGCGUAGGCGGUCUGAUAAGCCGGUUGUGAAAGCCCCGGGCUCAACCUGGGAACGGCAUCCGGAACCGUCAGGCUAGAGUGCAGGAGAGGAAGGUAGAAUUCCCGGUGUAGCGGUGAAAUGCGUAGAGAUCGGGAGGAAUACCAGUGGCGAAGGCGGCCUUCUGGACUGACACUGACGCUGAGGUGCGAAAGCGUGGGUAGCAAACAGGAUUAGAUACCCGGGUAGUC